rnacentral:tRNA from 1 species
AAGAUUUUAAGAUAAAUAAUCUAUUAACCUUCAAAGUUAAAAAUAUUAAUAAAAACUUUUUAAAUCUUA